rnacentral:rRNA from 1 species
GCCUCUUGACUUGUAAAUAAGAGGUCCAGCCUGCCCAGUGAAUUUUAACGGCCGCGGUAUCCUAACCGCGCGAAGGUAGCAUAAUCACUUGUUCUUUAAAUGGGGACUCGUAUCAACGGCAUCACGAGGGUUCUACUGUCUCCUCUUUUUGAUCAGUGAAAUUGAUCUUCCCGUGAAGAAGCGGGAAUAUUUAUAUAAGACGAGAAGACCCCAUGGAGCUUUAACCAAAUAGCAACUUAACCAUAUAUUGCCUAAUAAUUUUAAGCCCGUGCUACAAGGUUUUUGGUUGGGGUGACCGCGGAGUAAAGCACAUCCUCCACGACGAAAAGACUACAAUCUUUAUUUAUGAACUACAAUUCUAGAAAUUAGUAUACUAACGUUUACUGACCCGACAAUCGAUCAACGGAACAAGUUACCCUGGGGAUAACAGCGCAAUCUACUUCAAGAGCCCAUAUCGACAAGUAG